rnacentral:lncRNA from 1 species
GGACAAUCCCCCCGGAGGUGGCCCCGAUCCGGGGGGAGGAGGGGGAGGGGGCGGGGGCGGGGGUGGGACCCCCCGAAACGGGGAGGGGGGUGGGAAAAGGGGGGGAAGGGGAGAGGAACCCAUGGACUGGGGGGGAUUUGGGGGUCCAGGGGGGUUUGGGGGUGUCCAGAGGGGUUUUGGGAGGGGGUCCCAUAUUGGGGAGGGGGUCGGGGAGGUUGGGGGUGGUCCGGGGGGGGUCGGGAGGGGUCGGGGGUGGGGGAGGGGGGAUUAGAGCUCCAUCCCCGCUCAUCCCCGCCCGGGCUGGGGGGGGUGGGGGUCCGGCCCCCGCCCCUCCCCCACCCCGCUCCGGACUGGGGGCACCGUGAGCAAACUGGUGGCCACAGUGGCCGUACUGGUGGGCACUGGGCUCGGACUGGUGGCCGUCAUUGCCAUACUGGUUUUACUCGCGGCUGCAGUGCCCGUACUGGUCCCAUACUGGUCCUGUACUGGUGGCUGAGGUGCCCAUACUGGUGCCAUACUGGUGGCACUGGUGCCUCUACUGGUCUCGUACUCGUCCCAGUUGUCCCCAUACUGGUCCUGCACUGGUGUCCGUGGUGCCCCUACUGGUCCAGUACUGGUGGCCACGAUCUCCAUACUGGUCCUGAUGUCCCUAUACUGGCCCCAGUUGUCCCACACUGGUCCCAGUUAUCCCCACACUGGUCCCAGUUGCCCUGUACUGGUCCCUGUUAUCUCCGUACUGGUCCCAGUUGUCUCCCUACUGGUCCCCGUUCUCCCCGUACUGGUCCCAGUUCUCCCGUACUGGUCCCAGUUCUCCCGUACUGGUCCCGUUCUCCCCGUACUGGUCCCGCUGUCCCCGUACUGGUCCCAGUUCUCCCCGUACUGGUCCCCGCUCUCCCCGUACUGGUCCCAGUUUCUCCCCGUACUGGUCCCCGCUCUCCCCGUACUGGUCCCAGUUUCUCCCCGUACUGGUCCCAGUUCUCCCCGUACUGGUCCCAGUUCUCCCGUACUGGUCCCAGUGAUUCCCGUACUGGUCCCGCUCUCCCCGUACUGGUCCCGCUCUCCCUGUACUGGUCCCAGUUCUCCCGUACUGGUCCCGCUCUCCCCGUACUGGUCCCAGUUCUCCCCGUACUGGUCCCAGUUCUCCCGUACUGGGGCAGCGGGACCCGGGGCGGGCGGGGCGUGGCCAGGGGAGGGCGUGGCUCUGGGGGCGUGGCCAGGGGAGGGCGUGGCUCUGGGGGCGUGGCCAGGAGAGGGCGUGGCGCUGGGGGCGUGGCCUCGCGGACCGUUACGGCCGUUGGAUUUCAAACCCUUCGCAGCGCGGGGGGGCCCAGGCCACGCCUCCGCCGCCGUGUCUUGACCGACGUCCCGUACAGCCAAUCAGCGUUCGGCGUCCCGGCGCGGGGCCCAAUGAGCGGCCGCGCGCGCUCCGCCGACCCCGCCCCCCGUAACUGACAGCGCUUCCCGCCAAUUCCAACGGCCCGGCGCGAGCGCCCCGGCCCCGCCCCCGGAGGGCGGCC